GGGCGUUUCCGGGAUUAUUGGGCGUAAGAGCUCGUAGGCGGUUUGUCGCGUCUGCCGUGAAAGUCCGGGGCUCAACUCCGGAUCUGCGGUGGGUACGGGCAGACUAGAGUGAUGUAGGGGAGACUGGAAUUCCUGGUGUAGCGGUGAAAUGCGCAGAUAUCAGGAGGAACACCGAUGGCGAAGGCAGGUCUCUGGGCAUUAACUGACGCUGAGGAGCGAAAGCAUGGGGAGCGAACAGGAUUAGAUACCCUGGUAGUCCAUGCCGUAAACGUUGGGCACUAGGUGUGGGGGACAUUCCACGUUUUCCGCGCCGUAGCUAACGCAUUAAGUGCCCCGCCUGGGGAGUACGGCCGCAAGGCUAAAACUCAAAGGAAUUGACGGGGGCCCGCACAAGCGGCGGAGCAUGCGGAUUAAUUCGAUGCAACGCGAAGAACCUUACCAAGGCUUGACAUGGGCCGGACCGGGCUGGAAACAGUCCUUCCCCUUUGGGGCCGGUUCACAGGUGGUGCAUGGUUGUCGUCAGCUCAUGUCGUGAGAUGUUGGGUUAAGUCCCGCAACGAGCGCAACCCUUAUCUUUAGUUGCCAUGCCGUAAGGCGGCACUCUAACGAAACUGCCGGCCACAAGCCGGAGGAAGGUGGGGAUGACGUCAAGUCCUCACGGCCUUUAUGUCCAGGGCUACACACGUGCUACAAUGGGCGGUACAAAGCGUCGCAAACCCGCGAGGGGGAGCCAAUCGCAAAAAACCGCUCUCAGUUCGGAUUGCAGUCUGCAACUCGACUGCAUGAAGCUGGAAUCGCUAGUAAUCGCGGAUCAGCACGCCGCGGUGAAUACGUUCCCGGGCCUUGUACACACCGCCCGUCACAUCACGAAAGCAGGUUGCACUAGAAGUCGCCGAGCUGACCGCAAGGGGGCCGGCGCCCAGGUGUGGCUUGUGAUUGGGGUGAAGUCGUAACAAGGUAAC
rnacentral:rRNA from 1 species